rnacentral:rRNA from 1 species
CCUACGGGUGGCAGCAGUGAGGAAUAUUGGUCAAUGGUCGGGAGACUGAACCAGCCAAGCCGCGUGAGGGAUGAAGGUACAGAGUAUCGUAAACCUCUUUUGUCAGGGAACAAAGGCGGGGACGUGUCCCCGGAUGAGUGUACCCGAAGAAAAAGCAUCGGCAAACUCCGUGCCAGCAGCCGCGGUAAUCCGGAGGAUGCGAGCGUUAUCGGGAUUUAUUGGGUUAAAGGGGUGCGAGGUGGGUCUGAUAAGAGAGCGGUCAAAGCCCGGGGCUCAACCCCGGCCCGCCGUUGAAACUGGCAGUCUCGAGUUGGAGAGAGGUAUGCGGAAUGCGCGGUGUAGCGGUGAAAUGCAUAGAUAUCGCGCAGAACACUGGUUGCGAAGGCAGCAUGCCGGCUCCACACUGACGCUGAGGCACGAAAGCGUGGGUAGCGAACAGGAUUAGAUACCCUAGUAGUC